rnacentral:rRNA from 1 species
GAGGAACGCGAGCUACAGGCUUAACACAUGCAAGUCGAGGGGAAACGGCAUCGAAAGCUUGCUUUUGAUGGGCGUCGACCGGCGCACGGGUGAGUAACGCGUAUCCAACCUGCCCAUCACUUGGGAAUAACCUUGCGAAAGUAAGACUAAUGCCCAAUGACAUCCCACGAAGGCAUCCGAAUGGGAUUAAAGAUUUAUCGGUGAUGGAUGGGGAUGCGUCUGAUUAGCUUGUUGGCGGGGUGACGGCCCACCAAGGCAACGAUCAGUAGGGGUUCUGAGAGGAAGGUCCCCCACAUUGGAACUGAGACACGGUCCAAACUCCUACGGGAGGCAGCAGUGAGGAAUAUUGGUCAAUGGGCGAGAGCCUGAACCAGCCAAGUAGCGUGCAGGAUGACGGCCCUAUGGGUUGUCAACUGCUUUUAUAAGGGAAUAAAGUGGGUCACGUGUGACUUUUUGCAUGUACCUGAUGAAUAAGGACCAACUCAUUCCGUG